UUUUCCCUUCUUAAUCCCUCUCUGGACCCUCUCCUCCUCGCUAUUCAGAUUUGUGCAGCACCAAAUCUCUUUCUUCUCUAUUCUCAAUUCUCAUAAUCGAUCAUCUUUUCCGACUAAACUCAUUGCACGAAGCUGCUGUCUACUCCAAUCAGUAUAUAGUAGCUAAAAUGAGUUCAUCUACUCCUCUUGAGGAGCUCAUGAGUUCAUCCAACCCCAACUUAACUCAAAGUGAAGCUGAAAUUGCAUCAAGGAAUUUGAGAAAGCCAAUAAAGCCAAGGUCUGCUGUUUGGAAUCAUUUCAUAAGGUACAUUAGUAAGGGGGGAGAAGAAAAAUGUAAGUGUAAUUAUUGUAGUAAAGAAUUCUGUUAUAAUACAAGAAAGAAUGGCACAUCUGCACUUAGGAAUCACAUGAAUUCUUGUAAGAAUCAUUCAUAUGCAAUUGACACAAAACCACACAAUUAUCCUUCCAAAGUAUUUCAAAUCCUAAUUAGGGAGAUGUAGGCAUACUUAGUACUUGAAAGUAUGACGAAAAUGCAAUUAGGGAGGCUCUUGCAUUUAUGGUUGUUGUGAAUGAAUUACCUUUUCAGUUUGUUGAAGGUGAGGAUUUUAAGCGAUUUAUAAAAGUCGUAUGCCCUAGGUUUAAAAUUUUAUCUCGUUGGACAGUUUCUCAAGAUUGUUACCAAUUGUAUUUGAAUGAGAGGUCUAAAUUGAAAGUUUUUUUAGAAA